UGUACAUUACUCCCAGAAAUUGCCUAUAUUCAUUUUGUCCUUCACCACCUCGUUGUCAAUCCAAGAUUGUUAUUAAGCUAAGAUAUACAGGAAAAUCAAAUCAGGAAGCUGCAACUGGAAUGCACACCUCAACUAAUGCUUUUUGAAUGAAAUGUAUUGAAAAAAAAAAGUGAAGGGCAUCAAGAAGAUUGAUAAAUGAGUUAUAAUAUAAGCAAUUUCUUUUUGCUUUAAAUAGAACAUUGUUUUUUGCAUAUUUGAUGUAUAAACAAGUUAUAUAUUUUGUAUGUCAUAUUUCAUACAAUAGUAGAAUUGUUUGCUAGAUAUUAUUAUAAAAAAUGUGAAAUUAUCAUAUCAGUACUAGUAAUUCAUUAAAUUCUCAACAUUAUAUCAUCUUUAACUAUAUGUUUAUGACCAUAUCAUCAAAUAUUCAUAAACAAUAUAAUAACAUAAAGGUUCUUGUCAAACAUAAAAAAUAAAAAAA